rnacentral:rRNA from 1 species
UACGUAGGGGGCGAGCGUUGUCCGGAGUUACUGGGCGUAAAGCGCACGCAGGCGGUCUGCUAAGUUUGGAGUGACAGUUGGUGGCUUAACUGCCAAAGUGCUUCGAAAACUGAGAGACUUGAGGGCUUCAGAGGGACACGGAAUUCCGGGUGGAGUGGUGAAAUGCGUAGAGAUCCGGAGGAACACCGGUGGCGAAGGCGGGUCUCUGGGCCGUAACUGACGCUGAGGAGCGAAAGCGUGGGGAGCGAACAGG